rnacentral:rRNA from 1 species
AUUUAACGCUGGCGGCAUGCUUUACACAUGCAAGUCGAACGGUAACAGGCCUCAAGGUGCUGACGAGUGGCGAACGGGUGAGUAAUGCAUCGGAACGUGCCCAGUCGUGGGGGAUAACUACUCGAAAGAGUAGCUAAUACCGCAUACGAUCUAUGGAUGAAAGCGGGGGACCGUAAGGCCUCGCGCGAUUGGAGCGGCCGAUGUCAGAUUAGGUAGUUGGUAGGGUAAAGGCUCACCAAGCCAACGAUCUGUAGCUGGUCUGAGAGGACGACCAGCCACACUGGGACUGAGACACGGCCCAGACUCCUACGGGAGGCAGCAGUGGGGAAUUUUGGACAAUGGGCGCAAGCCUGAUCCAGCAAUGCCGCGUGCAGGAAGAAGGCCUUCGGGUUGUAAACUGCUUUUGUACGGAACGAAACGGCUCUGGUUAAUACCCGGGGCUAAUGACGGUACCGUAAGAAUAAGCACCGGCUAACUACGUG